rnacentral:tRNA from 1 species
UGCGAUUUAGCCAAGCGGUAAGGCAACGGACUUUGACUCCGUUAUCACUAGUUCGACCCUAGUAAUCGCAA